rnacentral:rRNA from 1 species
CCCUGAUCCAGCCAUGCCGCGUGUGUGAAGAAGGCCUUUUGGUUGUAAAGCACUUUAAGCAGUGAAGAAGACUCUUCGGUUAAUACCCGGAGACGAUGACAUUAGCUCCAGAAUAAGCACCGGCUAACUUUGUGCCAGCAGCCGCGGUAAUACAGAGGGUGCAAGCGUUAAUCGGAAUUACUGGGCGUAAAGCGAGCGUAGGUGGCUUGAUAAGUCAGAUGUGAAAUCCCCGGGCUUAACCUGGGAACUGCAUCUGAAACUGUUAGGCUAGAGUAGGUGAGAGGGAAGUAGAAUUUCAGGUGUAGCGGUGAAAUGCGUAGAGAUCUGAAGGAAUACCGAUGGCGAAGGCAGCUUCCUGGCAUCAUACUGACACUGAGGCUCGAAAGCGUGGGUAGCAAACAGGAUUAGAUACCCUGGUAGUCCACGCCGUAAACGAUGUCUACUAGUCGUUGGGUCCCUUGAGGACUUAGUGACGCAGCUAACGCAAUAAGUAGACCGCCUGGGGAGUACGGCCGCAAGGUUAAAACUCAAAUGAAUUGACGGGGGCCCGCACAAGCGGUGGAGCAUGUGGUUUAAUUCGAUGCAACGCGAAGAACCUUACCUGGUCUUGACAUAUCUAGAAUCCUGCAGAGAUGCGGGAGUGCCUUCGGGAAUUAGAAUACAGGUGCUGCAUGGCUGUCGUCAGCUCGUGUCGUGAGAG